UGCGCAGCUACCAUGCAGUCGAGCGGAGUUGUGGUGCUUGCACCAUAACUUAGCGGCGGACGGGUGAGUAAUGCUUAGGAAUCUGCCUAUUAGUGGGGGACAACAUCUCGAAAGGGAUGCUAAUACCGCAUACGCCCUACGGGGGAAAGCAGGGGAUCUUCGGACCUUGCGCUAAUAGAUGAGCCUAAGUCGGAUUAGCUAGUUGGUGGGGUAAAGGCCUACCAAGGCGACGAUCUGUAGCGGGUCUGAGAGGAUGAUCCGCCACACUGGGACUGAGACACGGCCCAGACUCCUACGGGAGGCAGCAGUGGGGAAUAUUGGACAAUGGGGGGAACCCUGAUCCAGCCAUGCCGCGUGUGUGAAGAAGGCCUUUUGGUUGUAAAGCACUUUAAGCGAGGAGGAGGCUACUUAGAUUAAUACUCUAAGAUAGUGGACGUUACUCGCAGAAUAAGCACCGGCUAACUCUGUGCCAGCAGCCGCGGUAAUACAGAGGGUGCGAGCGUUAAUCGGAUUUACUGGGCGUAAAGCGUGCGUAGGCGGCUUUUUAAGUCGGAUGUGAAAUCCUUGAGCUUAACUUAGGAAUUGCAUUCGAUACUGGGAAGCUAGAGUAUGGGAGAGGAUGGUAGAAUUCCAGGUGUAGCGGUGAAAUGCGUAGAGAUCUGGAGGAAUACCGAUGGCGAAGGCAGCCAUCUGGCCUAAUACUGACGCUGAGGUACGAAAGCAUGGGGAGCAAACAGGAUUAGAUACCCUGGUAGUCCAUGCCGUAAACGAUGUCUACUAGCCGUUG
rnacentral:rRNA from 1 species